UACGUAGGGUGCGAGCGUUAAUCGGAAUUACUGGGCGUAAGGCGUGCGCAGGCGGCGCGUUAAGACAGGUGUGAAAGCCCCGAGCUUAACUUGGGAAUUGCGCUUGUGACUGGCGUGCUGGAGUGUGGCAGAGGGAGGUGGAAUUCCACGUGUAGCAGUGAAAUGCGUAGAGAUGUGGAGGAACCCCGAUGGCGAAGGCAGCCUCCUGGGCCAGCACUGACGCUCAUGCACGAAAGCGUGGGGAGCAAACAGG
rnacentral:rRNA from 1 species